CAUUGAUUCACUUUCCCCAUACUUUGGUCUUGUUGUGCCUUUGGAUAUACUAAUCCGUAUUAUCUCGGAAGCUCUGCAGUUUUGAGCACUUAAGGCGUCGGUGUGACUCUCUUCGCUCAGCAUCCAAACCGUGCCACCUCCACCAACAGCCAGAAGAUCAUCUCGGCAUCACAGCUGUCGAUGGGGCAUUGCGUUAUCACUACCACAGCAACGAGGUGCCAUUCCAGUGAGAUUUCCACAAAGAAAAGUGUCAAGAUAAAAACAGAUGCACCAUGGACCCUUUCCACCUCAACACCAGUCCAACAAAGGCCGGGUAAAACUUCCAGGUUAGAGGAGGAAGAGGAUAGCAUCACAACACCAGCUGACCCCUUGAUAUCUGGCAUUUGGAGAAAGAGCACAUCACAGUCGUCUGUGUGACACCCCCUCGCUGCACGCCAGCACCCAAACCAAGCCACCUCCACCACCGGUCAGAUCAUAUCGCUGAAGAUGUGUACAGUACGCUCCUGCCUGCAUCCUGCCUGCAACCACAAGUUCACCCCAGAGGAUCUGCUGUCGACAACCAUUGUGAUAUCGUUGCAAUUAUGAAACACACUUAAUAAAUGCUAAUACAUCACAUCACACACAUUUUGUUUCUGAAUUGUUUUUCAAUAUUGGUAACACACUGUUGUUACAACAUCUGUUUAGGUCAGGUGGGGAACCAUGUCAAACCAUGUUUACGCCCCCUCGGGCCAUCUUAUCCUCUCCCCAAUAUAAUUUUAAUGUUGUACAGCUUCACGUGAAAUAUGACAUAUUUUGUAAAGGCAUCUUAGAAAUUACAUCAGCAAUAUAAUUAAGUUAUAUUCUAGGUACCAAGAGAAGGUGGGGUCUGUUGUAAAGCUGGCCACCUUCAAUAUAGGCCAAAAAAGCUGGGGGAAAUCCUGUUUUGUGUUCAUAGUACGGCCCUUGGAGGACUUACAUGGUUGUUGAAGGACUUUGAAGUGGCCCCUCAAAUGAAAAAGGUACCCUACCCCUGGCUUAGACGAAUGGCCAGACAAAUGUUAAGAAUUGAAGUAAUGCAUUUCUUAGAAG